ensembl:lncRNA
AGAGAUUGCUUCAUUUUACAGUCACCCUAGAAACGCCUCCGUCCUUCUCAGAAAGGAGAGUUGGCAGCGGGUCUGGCUGGCAUUGUGGGAUCUGUACAGGAUCCGCUCUUUGCUCCCGGUCCACGCCGAAGCUGUCAUCGGCUUAGAAUAGCGGUUAAGAAGUGUGGUGUGGAUGGAUGGACGGACCUACCACACGAAAAGCUCAGAAGCCCAAAUGUCUCCAUCCUUAACCUUAACUUGACUUUUAUAUGCACCCAUUGCUCCUCUGCACAGAGUGGUGUACAAGACGGAAAGCCUCAAGUACUUGAGUGGCUGCCAGUCAUUCUACUGCAUUCUUGGUAGAAAGAAGCUGGAUAAAAAAGCUAUGGCAUAAAUCAAGUUUGGAAGCAGAUCAGGAGAAUGAAUAGCGUCAACCAGAGAAAUCUGAAAGACGAACACUAGCCUUAAUGGAGAGUCCUUCAACUCAAGACAAGGAAAAGAGACUAUACUUCUAUGAAAAAAAAUUUUAAGAAGAUGUGUUUGUGCCUAUAUGAUCUCCCACCAUGAUGCGCCACCAUCUAUUGCCCUCAUUGAAAGCCAAAACAGUGUCCUCUCAUCAGUCUCCUCAUCUUGGACUUUGAACCUCUAAAACUGUGAGCUAAAUAAACCUUUUCUCUUUAUAAGUUACUUGCCUUUGGCAUUUCACUGUAGUAACACAAAGCAAACUAAUACAAUGCCCUUCCAUUACUUUGCAC